UGUAGUAAGGACACUCAAACAGCCCUCAGACAGGCUCAUCUGGCCAGAAACUGCAGCCUCCCACCAACGGCAUGUAAGAAAGCAUCUUGGGAGGGAAUUCUCCAGCCCAGGCAAGACUUAGGAUGCCAGCAGCCCCCACACCUUUGACAAGGCAAAAAGCUAAGCCACUCCCAAAUUCCCAACCCACAGAAACUGGGAGACAGGACUCUCCAACCAGUUUCCAUGUUGACAGCUGAUGAAGGAAGCAGAAAUUGCAGGAUUCUGUCCACUAGAGGCCCUGCUGAUUAGGCAGGAAGGGGAAAGGGGUGAUUGUUUCUUACAGACUCAAAAGGAAAUAGAAGAGUGGAAGAGAAAGGGGAAUGACCAGACAGCUGAACAGCCAGAACACACAUUUAUGGAUGGUUUGCCAUCU